UUAAGUCAUACACUGACAGCUGCAGUGAAGUUUUAUUUUUACCAAUAUCAAUCUAAUUUCUUCACAUUGUCUGCAGCAUUGUUCCAUUAAAGAAUGACUAUGUGGAAAUGCAAGUUAAUGAGGUUAAAUGUUUCUUUUUUCAGCUGAGAUGUUAAGAUGUUGAUUCUGCCUAGUAUCAAAAGAAUAGAUGAAUCGGGCGAAUCAGUCUAAGGCUAUUUCUGGAUGUACGAUGUGUUUCAUGUAUUAUUGGAUUACUAACUGGGUGAUAAUUUUUAAUGUCCUCCAUUAUUUAUGCUAGACUUGAUUUGUAGGGUAUUAUCCACAUGCCAACACCUGAAAGAAAGUUGUUGUUCACUGUAUUGCACUGUCUAUAUAUAGCAUCAGCCAGUUGAACAGUAGAGACAAAAAACUGGUCAAGGACACUCUUGAAUUUAUGCAGGCCAUUUAUAUAUUCAUUUAUGGGAGGCCAAUGUGGGUCUACCAUGAGUUCUAGCAACAAUCGGUCAUGUUGGGUCCCAUAGAUCAGCAAGACUUCUAUAUUCGGAUAUCAGCUUUGGACAUGUUAGGCAAAAUAUUGCAAGGAAUACAUAUAGAAUUAGGUAGAACAUUAUAAUUUGACGCAAGGUUGUAAAUUAUCUAUUAUUUAAACAAUUAAUAUGUAUUGGAUGCUAUUCCAGUAAUUAAUAUUG